rnacentral:ncRNA from 2 species
GGCAGUACCGGGAGACUGACCCGUAGCUAGCAGACAAUUCAGUCCCAGUACUCGGCAAGCGUGAUGGGGCUUGCUUUCAGCGCUCUUCAGAUCUCUGAAAAGAGUCGGUGCAUUCAUUAAAGCUACGUAAUGCGACGAUCUUGUUUGCAGCUGAUACCGCAUCGCUCGGGGAGAACGUCGUUCUCCUCGAGGGUCCGUGGCCCCA